GUUGUUCGGAAUUACUGGGCGUAAAGGGCGCGUAGGCGGUCUUCUAAGUCCUGUGUGAAAUCCCUCGGCUCAACUGAGGAACUGCACGGGAUACUGGAAGACUUGAGUUCGGGAGAGGGAAGCGGAAUUCCGGGUGUAGCGGUGAAAUGCGUAGAUAUCCGGAGGAACACCGGUGGCGAAGGCGGCUUCCUGGACCGAUUACUGACGCUGAGGCGCGAAAGCUAGGGGAGCAAACGGG
rnacentral:rRNA from 1 species